rnacentral:rRNA from 1 species
UACGUAGGGUGCAAGCGUUGUCCGGAAUUAUUGGGCGUAAAGAGCUCGUAGGCGGUCUGUCACGUCGGCUGUGAAAACCCGAGGCUCAACCUCGGGCCUGCAGUCGAUACGGGCAAACUAGAGUGUUGCAGGGGAGACUGGAAUUCCUGGUGUAGCGGUGAAAUGCGCAGAUAUCAGGAGGAACACCGAUGGCGAAGGCAGGUCUCUGGGCAUUAACUGACGCUGAGGAGCGAAAGCAUGGGGAGCGAACAGG